GCAGCUCAGUCGGGUAAGCGCCCGCUUCUCACGCAAGAGAUGCGGGUUCGAAUCCCGGCGCU
rnacentral:tRNA from 1 species